rnacentral:rRNA from 1 species
GACGAACGCUGGCGGCGUGCUUAACACAUGCAAGUCGAACGAAGUGGCGAACGGGUGAGUCAUACGUGAGUAACCUGCCCUCCUUUUUGGGAUAAGCCUUGGAAACGGGGUCUAAUACCGAAUCAUGGGGGUUGGGCUGGCUGCCUAUCAGCUUGUUGGAGGGGUGAUGGCCUCCACAGGCGGUGACUGGUAGGCGGCCUGGGAGGGUGACCGGCGAAAUGGGAAACGGGCCAGAGUCCAGACGGAGACAGGAGGCAGGAGUUGGGGACAAUGCACGCAGGGCGAAAGCAUGAUGCAGCGACGCCGCGUGAGGGAUGAAGGCUUUCGGGUUGUAAACCUCUGUGGGGAUCGAAUGGGUAGGUGGAGAAGAAGCGCCGGCUAACUACGUGCCAGCAGCCGCGGUAAUAC